rnacentral:rRNA from 1 species
GACGAACGCUGGCGGCGCGCCUAACACAUGCAAGUCGAACGAGCGAGCGAGAGCUUGCUUUCUUGAUCGAGUGUCGAACGGGUGAGUAACGCGUGAGGAACCUGCCUCAAAGAGGGGGACAACAGUUGGAAACGACUGCUAAUACCGCAUAUGCCCACGGUGCCGCAUGGCACAGAUGGAAAAGGAGCAAUCGGCUGUGAGCUGGCCUCGCUUCCGAUUAGCUGGUUGGUGAGGUACCGGCCCACCAAGGCGACGGUGGGUGGCCGGAAGGGGAGGUUGACACGCCAGAAUGGAGAUGCGGCACAGACCAGAACGGUACGCAGCGGAGCAGUGGAGAAUAUUGCACGCUGGAGGAAAAUGUGAUGACGCGACGCCGGGGAGGGGAAGAAGGUCUUCGGAUUGUAAACUCCUGUUGUUGGGGAAGAAAAUGACGGUACCCAAAAAGGAAGUGACGGCUAACUACGUG